UGAGAAUGCAGGGUGUUUCUGAUGGAUGA
rnacentral:piRNA from 1 species